AGUCAGUUAGCUCCGUCAGUGAGAGCGUAGUGCUGAUAACACCAAGGUCGCAGGUUCAAUCCCUGUUCGGUCCC
rnacentral:tRNA from 1 species